GACGAACGCUGGCGGCGUGCUUAACACAUGCAAGUCGAACGGAAAGGCCCUGCUUUUGUGGGGUGCUCGAGUGGCGAACGGGUGAGUAGCACGUGAGUAACCUGCCCUUGACUUUGGGAUAACUUCAGGAAACUGGGGCUAAUACCGGAUAGGAGCUCCUGCUGCAUGGUGGGGGUUGGAAAGUUUCGGCGGUUGGGGAUGGACUCGCGGCUUAUCAGCUUGUUGGUGGGGUAGUGGCUUACCAAGGCUUUGACGGGUAGCCGGCCUGAGAGGGUGACCGGCCAAAUUGGGACGGAGAUACGGCCCAGACUCCUACGGGAGGCAGCGGUGGGGAAUAUUGCACAAUGGGCGGAAGCCUGAUGCAGCAACGCCGCGUGCGGGAUGACGGCCUUCGGGUUGUAAACCGCUUUCGCCUGUGACGAAGCGUGAGUGACGGUAAUGGGUAAAGAAGCACCGGCUAACUACGUG
rnacentral:rRNA from 1 species